AUGAUCUCGAGAUUCCCAGGUCUCUUUAAGUUCCGCGGCGUCGCGAGCCCACGGAACCACCGCUCCUUCCACCACCACCGCCACCCGCCGCCCCCUCCCGCCCCCGCCACCAUGUCCGACCUCCGCCCGCCGGAGCACCAGGUCGCCGGCCACCGCGCCUCCGCCAGCAAGCUGGGCCCGGUCGUCGACGGCUCCGGCCUCUUCUACAAGCCGCUCCAGGCCGGCGAUCGCGGGGAGCACGAGCUCGCCUUCUACGAGGCCUUCUCCGCCCACGCCGCCGUCCCGCCCCGCAUCCGGGACGCCUUCUUCCCGCGGUUCCACGGCACGCGCCUCCUCCCCACCGAGGCGCGGCCCGGGGAGCCGCACCCGCACCUCGUCCUCGACGACCUCCUCGCGGGCCUCGAGGCGCCCUCCGUCGCCGACAUCAAGAUCGGCGCCAUCACGUGGCCGCCCAGCUCGCCGGAGCCCUACGUCGCCAAGUGCCUCGCCAAGGACCGCGGGACCACCAGCGUCCUCCUCGGCUUCCGCGUCUCCGGCGUCCGCGUCGUGGGCCCCGGGGGCGCCGUGUGGCGAACGGAGCGCCCGGAGGUGAAGGCGCUGGACACCGCCGGCGUCCGCCGCAUGCUGCGGCGUUACGUGUCGUCCGAUUCCGGCGAGGUGGUGGACUGCGCGCUCGCCGCGGCGGUGUACGGCGGGGAAGGGGGCGUCCUGUCGCAGCUGCGCGAGCUCAAGGCGUGGUUCGAGGAGCAGACUCUGUUCCACUUCUACUCAGCGUCGAUUCUUCUGGGCUAUGAUGCCAAUGCGGUGUCAGCAACCGGAGUUGGGGGUGGGGUGAGGGUGAAGCUGGUGGACUUUGCUCAUGUCGCCGAGGGUGAUGGGGUGAUUGAUCACAACUUCCUGGGCGGGCUCUGCUCGCUGAUUAAGUUCAUUUCUGAGAUUGUUUCGGAGACUCCUGAUACGCCGCCAUUGGGUCCUUAAGAGGAGGACAUCUUGGCAUUUGGGAGUUGAUGACAAAGGUAGGGGCUGCAUUCCUUACGACAGAUGCAAUGACAAAAUUGUAGAUGACCAAUGUAAAUGCAGAAAUGUGUUUUCACCAAGGACGAAAAGAUUGAUAAACCCAUCAACGUGAAAUCAUCAGAGGGCUAAACUGAAGUCCAUCACAGAGGAAAACACACAUGAAUAUGCUAACCGGCCUAAAGUUUUGUCCCCAAAAAGAAACCUCCGAGCUGCUGGUUGUGUGGAAAUAUGAGACGACUCAGCUGGUUGCCUUCCCUGCAAACAUACGGCGACCUGUGCCUUUUUUGAAACCUGAUCUUCUGAAAUACUUUGGGGUAAUACUUUGGGGUUCGAGUACGUUGGAUCUGAUUGCAUAAAGAAAACCAUAAAGAGUUGCCACUCUCCUCCUGGUAGGUGGACGUUGAGACGCAUGCUAUGCAGGCGUGCUGAUCCAGCAAAACGCUGCCAGUCUUGUGCUGCUUGCCGUGCCUGUCCGAGCAUAUUUUGUUUUUGUUUUUCUGAGGCGAAGAUUGCAUGCAUGUGACGGGGCCGUGCCAGCUUUGAGUAGCGAUUGGCGUUCUGUUUCUUA